ACAAAUCUCAUUUCAAAAAGUGGAGUUUCUAACAAGCCAAGUCAGCAUCCUCUGAUAAAACUGGAGUCCUUCUGCUGCAAUACAGAAUGUGAAAAAGAAACCAAAACCAAUAUAUUCUCGGAAAGAGGUGAAUUCCUCUCUAAUGUGUGGAAAACAGAAGAAAAUAAUGUUACAGAAGACUGGAAUAAAGGAAUUAAGGCUUUCCUUUAUGUGCCCAUUUAUGAGAGUAAUCCCUUCAAUAGGAGAACUACAACCUUCGGACAAGGAAAAGCAGAGUUUUCACCCAUUACUUUUAGAAUAGCUGCUAAUAUAGUAAAAUUCAAAGUCAUGAAAGAUAGGGUCUUUACCUCAUUGACUGUUGCUUGCAGACCCAAUGUUUCUCUGGUGCCACUGGAUCAUUAUAUUGUUACUGAUUGUGCUCCGCUACAACAGAGGCCGAUCACUCACCAGCUAGGUUCAGUUUUUUUAGAGGUCACAUCUUUCCUGUUGAUUCUAGGCAGAACUUUGCAGUCAGAAGAGCAGAAUAUGACCACUGGGAUGGAAAAAUGCAACAGUAGCUGGGAGAGAGAGGAGUGAGAAAAUAUGAGAGAAACAACCAGGCAGACAACCAGGUCUGUGCAGAAGGAGGGCAGGAGGUGCUCCAUGCCCGCAGCAGCAGUUCCCCUGCAGCCUGUGGAGAGGCCCCUGGUGGAGCAGGCUGUCCCCCUGCAGCCCACGGGUCCCAC
rnacentral:lncRNA from 1 species